CGUUCUGUAAGCCUGUGAAGGUGUGCUGUGAGGCAUGCUGGAGGUAUCAGAAGUGCGAAUGCUGACAUAAGUAACGAUAAAGCGGGUGAAAAGCCCGCUCGCCGGAAGACCAAGGGUUCCUGUCCAACGUUAAUCGGGGCAGGGUGAGUCGACCCCUAAGGCGAGGCCGAAAGGCGUAGUCGAUGGGAAACAGGUUAAUAUUCCUGUACUUGGUGUUACUGCGAAGGGGGGACGGAGAAGGCUAUGUUGGCCGGGCGACGGUUGUCCCGGUUUAAGCGUGUAGGCUGGUUUUCCAGGCAAAUCCGGAAAAUCAAGGCUGAGGCGUGAUGACGAGGCACUACGGUGCUGAAGCAACAAAUGCCCUGCUUCCAGGAAAAGCCUCUAAGCAUCAGGUAACAUCAAAUCGUACCCCAAACCGACACAGGUGGUCAGGUAGAGAAUACCAAGGCGCUUGAGAGAACUCGGGUGAAGGAACUAGGCAAAAUGGUGCCGUAACUUCGGGAGAAGGCACGCUGAUAUGUAGGUGAAGUCCCUCGCGGAUGGAGCUGAAAUCAGUCGAAGAUACCAGCUGGCUGCAACUGUUUAUUAAAAACACAGCACUGUGCAAACACGAAAGUGGACGUAUACGGUGUGACGCCUGCCCGGUGCCGGAAGGUUAAUUGAUGGGGUCAGCGCAAGCGAAGCUCUUGAUCGAAGCCCCGGUAAACGGCGGCCGUAACUAUAACGGUCCUAAGGUAGCGAAAUUCCUUGUCGGGUAAGUUCCGACCUGCACGAAUGGCGUAAUGAUGGCCAGGCUGUCUCCACCCGAGACUCAGUGAAAUUGAACUCGCUGUGAAGAUGCAGUGUACCCGCGGCAAGACGGAAAGACCCCGUGAACCUUUACUAUAGCUUGACACUGAACAUUGAGCCUUGAUGUGUAGGAUAGGUGGGAGGCUUAGAAGUGUGGACGCCAGUCUGCAUGGAGCCGACCUUGAAAUACCACCCUUUAAUGUUUGAUGUUCUAACGUUGACCCGUAAUCCGGGUUGCGGACAGUGUCUGGUGGGUAGUUUGACUGGGGCGGUCUCCUCCUAAAGAGUAACGGAGGAGCACGAAGGUUGGCUAAUCCUGGUCGGACAUCAGGAGGUUAGUGCAAUGGCAUAAGCCAGCUUGACUGCGAGCGUGACGGCGCGAGCAGGUGCGAAAGCAGGUCAUAGUGAUCCGGUGGUUCUGAAUGGAAGGGCCAUCGCUCAACGGAUAAAAGGUACUCCGGGGAUAACAGGCUGAUACCGCCCAAGAGUUCAUAUCGACGGCGGUGUUUGGCACCUCGAUGUCGGCUCAUCACAUCCUGGGGCUGAAGUAGGUCCCAAGGGUAUGGCUGUUCGCCAUUUAAAGUGGUACGCGAGCUGGGUUUAGAACGUCGUGAGACAGUUCGGUCCCUAUCUGCCGUGGGCGCUGGAGAACUGAGGGGGGCUGCUCCUAGUACGAGAGGACCGGAGUGGACGCAUCACUGGUGUUCGGGUUGUCAUGCCAAUGGCACUGCCCGGUAGCUAAAUGCGGAAGAGAUAAGUGCUGAAAGCAUCUAAGCACGAAACUUGCC
rnacentral:rRNA from 2 species